AAGUGGUGCUGCGCAAAGGUUCCGGUUCUGAAAGGUUUCAGAUCUGAACAUUAGUUCAGUUUCUCUCUGUACAGAAGCUGCCAGGCCUGCUGAGUAUUUCCAGCAUUUUCUGGUUUUGUUUUAAAACCUAAGCUGGGCAUCACCUAACCCACUACUGGGUUCCUGUUAGGUAACUGUAAAAGGUAAAGGAGAAGGCCUGCAAAGUGAUACAGAACCUCUUCAGAGAAAUUGAGCUGCUGCAAAGGAAGCAGUGAGUAGCAGAAAUGGUUCUGGUAAUAGGAAUGAAACCAACUCCAGGACAUUGCAUUGGAACUGAAUAUUUGUGGAAUAACAAUUUAUAUGAGAAGAAAGCAAUAUCAAGUUCUGAAUGUACAACAAUGAACAACACCAACCUUGCUGAAAAUAGAUAACUCGAAGAAGACCUGCUCUGUUAGCUGAUAAGCAUCAAAUAGUCAACAAUGACAUGGCUGGACCCAAGCAAUUCCACAAGAUUCUGGUGAAGAGAUUCAGAAAUAUUGGUUAAUAAUAUUCUGUAGAAGCAGAUCAAAAUUGUCAAUAUUUACAGUAGUUGCGAGAAUACAAGGUGUACUUUUUUUCAACUUCAUAAUUUUGAUUCAUAUUUCCUCAGUUUGCGUAGUUUUUUAAUUAUAUGGUCUACUCUUAAUUUGAAUUAUUUGUUAAUUGGCAUCAAAAUCAAGGAAAAGUC